UACGAAGGGAGCUAGCGUUGUUCGGAAUCACUGGGCGUAAAGCGCACGUAGGCGGACUUGUCAGUCAGGGGUGAAAUCCCGGGGCUCAACCUCGGAACUGCCUCUGAUACAGCAAGUCUUGAGUCCGGAAGAGGUGGGUGGAAUUCCUAGUGUAGAGGUGAAAUUCGUAGAUAUUAGGAAGAACACCGGUGGCGAAGGCGGCCCACUGGUCCGGUACUGACGCUGCGGUGCGAAAGCGUGGGGAGCAAACAGG
rnacentral:rRNA from 1 species